GCAGCUUCUGUAUNCAAUNCAGGAGUGGGCGCACGGCGCACGGGUGAGUAACACGUGGGCAAUCUGCCCUCCGAUGGGGAAUANCCCCGCGAAAGCGGGGCUAAUUCCGCAUAACAUUCCGGGGACCUCGGUCCCUGGUUUCAAAGGCGUAAGUCGUCGGAGGAGGAGCCCGCGCACGAUUAGCUAGUUGGUAGGGUAACGNCCUACCAAGGCUAUGAUCGUUAGCUGGUCUGAGAGGAUGGCCAGCCACACUGGAACUGAGACACUGGUCCAGACUCCUACGGGAGGCAGCAGUGGGGAAUAUUGCAGCAAUGGGCGAAAGCCUGACGCAGCGACUGCCAGCGUGGGGGAUGAAGCUUCUCGNAGUGUAAACCCCUUUCGACCCGGACGAAUGCCCCGGUAAGGGGAGUG
rnacentral:rRNA from 1 species